GACAGCCGGCGCGCAGGAGAAGAAAGUCGCUCCUUCCCCAACUGCCGCACCGGCACGAAGCGGACAGCCUCGUGCAAACACACCAGCAGCCGGAAGGAUCGUCACGGCGGGGCGGGACCGCUGACGCAACGCCGGCCGGCGAUUGGGGAGUCAGGCGGGAAAAGUCCACCAACAGGCGACAGAGGAGGAGGAUAAAAGGGCGCGCUUCCGGCCAUAAGGGGAGCGGAAGACCGACGGUGAACAAAAGGAAUCCGUGCGUGCGUUUCAGCGGCCUACAGACGCGCCCACACGGAGUACAACGGAGACAGAUCUGGACUGCUGGCAGGCCGGUCAAGCACACGCACUCCGUGUCUAUGAAGCCAUGCUGUUGUAGCACAUGCAGAAUGAGGCCUGGCAUUGUCCUGAUAAAGUAACCAUGGACUUCCUGGGAAAAGACGUUGUCUUGAUGGCAGCAUGUGUCUCUCUACAACCCCUCAUAUAUACGCCUCAUCAUCAAUGAGAACUCGACAUCCGUUUUUCCCGAAAACAAGCUGAAACAUGGACUCAUCUGACCACAGCACGCCUUUCCACUGCCUUUCAGUCCAUCUGAGAUGAGCUCAGGCCCAGAGAACUCGGCAGCGUUUCUGCAUAGAGUUGAUGUAUGGCUUCCUCCUUGUGUAAAAGAG
ensembl:lncRNA